GUAAGAGCUAAAAAGAGAGAGGGAGAGAGAACAGGCAGAACCUGAUAUGUAAAUGAGCAGAGCAAAUGAAACUAACUUUUGACGACCCGAUGAUCAUUCAGACUCUGUUUCUAUUGAGAGAUAAAAGGCUGGUUGAAUGAGUUGUCUAUGAAAGCUACUUCAUCUGUGAGAAAACAGGCGUCUGCACCAGUGACUGGGUCAGUGCUCUAAAAUGAGUCUCUCUGGGGAGAGAGAGGAGGGGGCCCUGCCUCUAAAAUGCAUCUCUCUGGGGGACAUGACACCAAAGCUAAGAGGUAAGAUGACCAUUUAUAAAGAAUUUAUCGAGUUCAUUAAAAAAAUAAAGAGCUAUCUUAAGAUGAAACACUAUAUAUCCAUUGUUAAUCAGGAAUGGAAUGUUGGUAUCCUGUAUAUUUGACUGUGAUAUGUGGUUGUCUCACCUUGAUAUCUUAAGAUGAAUGCACUUACUGUAAAUCACUC